rnacentral:rRNA from 1 species
UUGGAGGGCAAGUCUGGUGCCAGCAGCCGCGGUAAUUCCAGCUCCAAUAGCGUAUAUUAAAGUUGUUGUGGUUAAAAAGCUCGUAGUUGAACCUUGGGCCUGGCUGGCCGGUCCGCCUCACCGCGUGCACUGGUCCGGCCGGGCCUUUCCCUCUGCGGAACCCCAUGCCCUUCACUGGGUGUGGCGGGGAAACAGGACUUUUACUCUGAACAAAUUAGAUCGCUUAAAGAAGGCCUAUGCUCGAAUACAUUAGCAUGGAAUAAUAGAAUAGGA